rnacentral:rRNA from 1 species
GGGGAAUCUUGGACAAUGGGGCGCAAGCCUGAUCCAGCCAUGCCGCGUGAGUGAUGAAGGCCCUAGGGUUGUAAAACUCUUUCGUGGGGGACGAUAAUGACGGUACCCCAAGAAGAAGCUCCGGCUAACUUCGUGCCAGCAGCCGCGGUAAUACGAAGGGGGCUAGCGUUGUUCGGAUUUACUGGGCGUAAAGCGCGUGUAGGCGGACUGGAAAGUUGGGGGUGAAAUCCCGAGGCUCAACCUCGGAACUGCCUCCAAAAACUUCCAGUCUGGACUCAAGUAGAGGCAAGUGGAAUUGCGAGUGUAGAGGUGAAAUUCGUAGAUAUUCGCAGGAACACCAGUGGCGAAGGCGACUUGCUGGACUUGAGUGACGCUGAGACGCGAAAAGCGUGGGGAGCAAACAG